GGCUGGCUGGCUGGCUGACUGUGUUGGUCAGGAGUUUUGUUGUAGUUUAUGGAUCAACAUUUCAGCCCACUGCCAGUCUGUGGAAGUGCACUGCACUUAAAAAGCUGCCUCCCUGGUAUAGAGUUCCCCAAACUGAUGGCUUUUCACAUCCAGCUUCCGGCCAGCGAGCAUCAAGUGACAUGCCCACCUCCACAUCCCAGCAAAUGAACCUGAACCGGGACCUCCUCUGGCCCGAAAUCUGAGUCCCAGAGCGGCCCAGCCCCCUGCAAGCGGGCACACACAGGGUUUGCGGCGGCGGCUGCACAGAGCAGGACCAGAGGACAAUGGUCCUGUGGGAAGCCGGGCGUUUGUGUGAGCACCCAGGGGGCAGGCGCAGAAACAGGAAGGCCGAGAUUACAGUCCGCUUUACAGCUCUUUUGAAGUCGCCGGAGCCAGCUCGGGAAGCCUACAUAGGCUGCGAGCGAGCGCCCUGAUCAAAGGUCCCUCGGCGGGCUCAAAUUAACAGGGAGCUGGCGAGCCGCGCAGCACCUGCCCGCGAAGAGCCGCGCGGCCGCAAACCGGCUCAUCUUGUCCGGAGGUGAGCCUUUCAGAAAGCUUGCCCAGGCUGAUGGCUCCGGGACUGUCUGGGUCGGAAGGGGAAAGGCGUGGUCUGUUUUCUUUGCACGGAGGUCGUUUGAUUUCCGGCCCGGCGCGCACACACGGUGUGAAUCUGCGGAAUCCGCUGGUGAAUGAGGGCUCACUCAGUUACAGCCAGCUGCUGCAGACAAGCUAAAUUCAAGGGAGUCGGCUUCCUCCCCCUGUACAGUAGUAACACCUCCCACUAAACUGUGAAGUCUAAACGACGUGUACAUAAGUAUUGGGAAUUGAACUUUGGACCCUAUGCAAGUGCAGGAUCACUGAGCCACACCCCCAACUCUUAAUUUGACAUUUCACUGCUAUCCUGGAUUUACAGAAGAUACUAGAAAAAUUCUACAAUUAAAAGUUAUUUUGAAGUUUAUAAAGACUUUACAAAACUUGUGAGAAAAAAAACCAUUUUUUUGUGGCAUCUUGAUCUAUGGUAUAAAUUGUGAAAUGAUUGGAUUGAGCUAAUUAACAUAUCGAUUGUUCAUUGGAAAAU